rnacentral:rRNA from 1 species
GGUGCCUACGGGGCGCAGCAGUGGGGAAUAUUGCACAAUGGGGGAAACCCUGAUGCAGCGACGCCGCGUGAGUGAGGAAGUAUUUCGGUAUGUAAAGCUCUAUCAGCAGGGAAGAAAAUGACGGUACCUGACUAAGAAGCCCCGGCUAACUACGUGCAAGCAGCCGCGGUAAUACGUAGGGGGCAAGCGUUAUCCGGACUUACUGGGUGUAAAGGGAGCGUAGACGGCGCGGCAAGUCUGAAGUGAAAGGCAGGGGCUUAACCCCUGAACUGCUUUGGAAACUGCCAUGCUAGAGUGC